CUUUUCCUCCCCCCUUUCCCUGUGUCUUUCCCUCCUCCACAUCUCUCUUCCCCUGUCUCUUUCUCCUCCCUUACCCUGUCUCUCUUCCCCUCUGUCUCUUUCUCCUCCCUCCACCAUCUCUCUAUUCACCCUCUUUCUCCCCCUGUGUCUCACUCUUCCCCCUCUGUCUCUUUCUCCCUCUUUUCCUGUGUCACUCUCUCUCCCCCUGUCUCUUUCUCCCUCUUUUCCCUGUCUCUUUCUUCCUCUUUUCCCUGUGUCACUCUCUCUCCC